GAGACUCUGUGCGCGUGCAUAUCAAUAAGCGGAGGAAAAGAAACUAACAAGGAUUCCCCUAGUAACGGCGAGUGAAGCGGGAAGAGCUCAAAUUUGAAAUCUUAAAGGGUUUCCCUUUACGAAUUGUAGUUUAAAGAAGUGUUUUCUGUUGGAGUUUCGGUAAAAGUUCUUUGGAAUAGGACAUCAUAGAGGGUGAGAAUCCCGUAUUUGACCAGUUAUUUUCAGCUGUGUGAUACACUUUCAAAGAGUCGGAUUGUUUGGGAAUGCAGUCCAAAAUGGGUGGUAAAUUUCAUCUAAAGCUAAAUAUUGGCGAGAGACCGAUAGCGAACAAGUACCGUGAGGGAAAGAUGAAAAGAACUUUGAAAAGAGAGUUAAACAGUACGUGAAAUUGUCAAAAGGGAAGCGUUUGACACCAGUGUUGUUUAGUUGAAAAUCAAUUCAAUAGUUUUUGAUUUUAAGUAGUAUUGACUUCAUCAGCUUGCUGCUUUCUUUCAGAAAUUAUUGAAUGCACUUUUCAGUUAACAAGUCAACAUCAAUUUCUUUUGUUGUAAAAAGGGUAAGAGGAAGGUGGCUUGCGCUUCGGCUCAAGUGUUUAUAGCCUUUUAUCCUCUGCAAUCGGAGAGAUUGAGGUCUGCAGCGUAGAUCCUUCGGGGUUAGAUACAUUGGUGCUAAGUUAUAGCUUGUCAUAGGACAACUUGUUGACUAUGUUUAGUCAUUGUAGCUUACUCGCUGACGCUAUUUUACCUACGCUUAGGAUGUUGAUCUGUAGUGCGUGCGC
rnacentral:rRNA from 1 species